AGUUCAAAUGGUUUUUUGUAAGCGUCAAGCAUAGAAGCUUUCAAAGAGUCGAAGCUCGAAAGUUAGGGUUCAGCGCCUCUGCGCCUCCAUCGCUCCAUCCUCAGUCUCACCGACGGACGGCGGUAUUUCGUUUGAAGUUUUGGACGAACUCUGGCCGUAUUUCCCUUUCUCCGGCGAUCUUCCUUUUGCCCUCUCACUUUCUCCAACAACAGAGCAUCUUCUUCUUUCAGCACCUCCUCACCUUCUCUAGUAACAGCAGUACAACACUCUCUCUUCUCUCAAUGCCCUCUCACUUUCUCCAGCGGCAACAGCACUUCCUCUUCACUCAGGCAAUCAUAUUUUGGUAAAAAGGAAGGGGCCAUGCUUGGAAGUUGAAACUCUUUCCAGUUUCCACCAUGAGUGUUGACUGUUGGCUGCUGUAGGCACUUGAUGGAGUGUAUGCUAUGUUAGUUAAUCUUUGAGAGACAACUCAAAUUAAUUAUAUAUAUUGUGGUCCAAAACUCUUGCUUUUUUGGCAUACUUAUUACAGGCAGAUUAUGAGGAAGGUCAAUGGCCUAGGCUCAAGUUGCCAAGAGAGUGCAGACUGAUCUUAAUUUUUGGCAUACUUAUUAUUUAUUACUUUGAGAGACUCUCAUGCUAUGAUUUAUUUAUUGUUUAAGUAGAAAACUAGAAAUUAUUGUAUGUACUAUGACUUUAUAUUUGCUUUAUCUUAAUUAAUGGGAAACAAAUCAAUACCAUUUAGAUUGGAUUGGACUAGUCCAAUUUGGUCCAGGUUGGAAAGUCCAAUAGUACAGUGGAUUGGAUAUUUGGAUUGAA